ensembl:lncRNA novel transcript
ACUUUCUCUGCCCGGCCCUGAACGCUCGCCGCCCCUGCCCAGCCGCCCACUGUCUGGCAGCCUGCAAGUCUCCAUUCAGAAGCGGCUCCGUGCUGCCCAGCGAUGGCGCCCUGGCGGCGCGGAAGCCCGCGGCCAAAUGACACGACUUGGGGGCAAAGGAGGACAACAGUUCCCACCAGAAAUGAGCCCCUGAGUCCUGAGUUGGUGGCAGCUGCAUCUGCUGCUCUGUUUUGACAAGCAAACAAGCCAGAACUGCUCAGGCAGCUCCGUAGCAUGAGGAAGAGUCAGGGGCACAGAGAGAUGGAGAGAGACCUAGUUAGACACAUCACCUUCACUUUGGGAUAUGGAAUUUGAUAAGCAGUUAGCCACAGAAUAUGAACAACCCCUUGAGAAUGAGAUUGAAGAACUGAUCCAGGGGACAAAAGAGGGGAAACUGAGAGUUCCCAAUUAAUAAUGAAGCAGCUUCAUAUCUAAGAUCUCUGGUGGACUUUUUCUGCCCGUGGACGCCGCUGAAGAAGCAUCGUUAAAGUCUCUCUUCACCUUGCCGUCAUGUCUAAG